CGGGGACGGUGCCUGUGCGAGGGGGCUUAGGAGGACCGCUGUCCCUCUCAGUUCCAUCCGGGCAAGACGGGUGCUUCAAGGGCCGCCGCUCAAAACCUUAUCGAGAGGAGCAGGAGGAGGCGACAAACAGGGCAGGCGGACGUUAAGCUCGCUGCGUGCCACCUGGGCUUGAAGUGGAAGGCCGCCAGCGAGCCGCGAGAGGCUGGGACUGCUGCGGCCGGGCCUGAUGGGAGCGGACAGUAGAUUGGUACCAGCUUCGCCAUCAGCGGUCUUGGACGAGCCCUGGCUGACCUCGCGGCUCAGCGGUCGCACCAGGCUUACAGCCAAAGACGAAGACCACUGGGAGGAGGAGGACGAGGAGGAGGAGGAGGAGGCCUUCUGCGAUGAGAUGGGGAGGAUAUGAUCAGAAUCCAUUGACGCAGUGAGAGAUGAUUUCACCAUUAAACAACUCGCUAUACUCUUCGUCCUGUACCUCCUCCUCACCUGAGUCCAGAAGAAGGAGAUCCUGGGCUGUGAGCAGCCAGACCAUGAGGGUUAGAAAAGUGCUGUAGCUCCUCCUCUGACACAUAACAGCACACAAAACACACAACCACAGGAACAUCACUUCACAGCUUAACAGUUACAAUCCACAGUCAUAAAUACAGUGCAUACUCCGGUUACAUAGAGAGAGAAAGAUGAGAGACUACAUGCAGACAUUUAGAACAAUAAGAGGACAACAAUUAUAUAUAUAUAUAUAACAUAUCUAAAUUCAGAGCUACUUCUAGCUUUGCUGUGUAUCACUACUGUGCUACUGCUGAGAAGUGUGCAACAGGUUUCUGAUAGAUAUUAAGCCAUGUGUUACCAUCUAGUGUUUCUUUCUCAGAGUCAGAGUC